GCGUGCCACCGCUCCCAGUCAGUCCUCGCUCCGUCAGCUGCGACCUUCCCUUCAACUCCUGCUAGAGAAAGCACAUCAGAAUGGGGUGUGGAACUGGAGGCUUGCUCAUCACCAUGACUCUUGUUACAGAAAAAAUGACGUAAGGACACUUGUUUAAGCACAAGAACUAUCAGGAAGACACUAAAGGUCUUGAGCUAGAAGGCUGCCUUUUGGUUUUGGAGAGAGGAGAGGCACAGGGAGAACGUGUUCUACGUAGAGGUGUGCUCCCAGCAUCCAACGUGUCGUAGAGUGGUCUCGACAAGGAUGCCAAUGGCCUUUGGACAUCCUGGGCUCAUAUCAUGGCCAUGUGAAGGCUAAGCGACAAGGACGUUUCUGUCCUCUGGGCAUAGCAGGGCACCCUCACACAAGACUCUCGUGGCGUGUUUCAGGGAAGGUUAGAAGACCCUUCCUGCACGUGGCCUUUCUGAAAUUCCUUUAGCUUGGAACACGCAACAUGUCAAGGCUUUGGGGCAGUAUGUCCUGAACUCCAGCACCUGGAAACCACUAACCUUCUUUCUGCCUUUAUGGAUCUGCCUGUGCUGAAUAUUGUAUCGAAGGGAGUCAAGUCAUAAGAGACCCUUUGUGUCUGGCUUAUUUCACUUUGCCUGAGAUUUUCAAGUUCCAUCUGUGUGGUAGCGUGUGUAGGUACGUCGCUCCUUCCCAAGGUGAAUGGUAUUAUACUGAAUAGUGUUACACCACGCUUGCUAAUCCGUUCAUCUGUUGACGACAUGAGGGUUGUUUCCCCCACUGCUGUCGUGGGGAGGGAUGCUAUGGACAUGGGUGUGCACAUUUUUGUUUGGACUUUCAGCCCCUCGGGGAGCUCACUGAGCAAUCCUCACCUGGUUCCUACUUGGAGCCUGGAAGUCCAGCCUGCUGCCAUCCGUCUUCUGGAGCCGGCAGGGCAGGAAAUACCUGCGUGAAAUACUGAGUGAUCUCAACGCAGGUGCCCCUCCCGUGACUGCAAGUUAUACUUUGUGAACUGCCUGAGGAUGGAGACCUCUUUGGCCUCUAAGUUUGCAUGCAAGAUGUUUCCUUAGACUGAACGCCCAGCCCCUUCCCUGCCUGUCAAACUACUACUUACCUUUUAUAUCGCGUUCAAAUGUCACUUCUCUGACUUAUGUUCUAGGUAGUAUUCUUUUGGGUAUAAGAUACUGAAAGGUGGUAUAAAUCCUAAAGGAAAUUCAUGGGCACCUAAGGAUAGGAGCUGUUGUAUAACGAUAAGCAAGCAGUCGGGAGCUACCAGGACCAAGGCUGCCAUGUUCGCACCUUCGUUCCACCCCUCCCUCCUAACUUCUCUCCAUCUCUCAAGGCCAUCGAAAGCCUUUCUACGUCAUCAUGUCCUUCAGCUUCCGUUACUGCUUUCUGGUGACAUCUCUUUCUGUCCCUUUGUUAAUUCAAUACGUGGAUUUCUGGGUUCACUAUGGGUGGGUCCUCUUAGGUAAUAUGUUCCCCCUUGUGGCCUUUGACCCCUGAAACCAGGGGCAUGUGACCCCCUGCUCCCUGUUGGGUGGGCUCUCCAGGCACAUGCACCAGAAUUCCCCAAGCACGGGUCACGUCUCCUGGUUUUGUGUUCUUACAGCUCUCUGUGAUGUAGACACAUAAACAAGUAGACAAUGUUAAAAUGCCAUAUUGGCUUCAGGACAAUGAACUAAUACUACACAACAGGGACCGUUUUGGCUAUGAUUGCUAUUUACAGCAUAGUAACUGGCAUAUAGUUGUUUCAUACUUAAUCUGCUUUAAAAAUACAGCACUGGAUGAGAUCAAACUACCUAAGUCUCUUCUAAAUAUAUGAGAACACGUUGAAAGGCAAUGUCAGGGAAUUUCAAUUUAGUGGUUGCCUUUAGACUAAUGAUUUGAGAACGCAGUGGGUUUAUAAGAUUUGUUUUCCAUACCCAGAUCAGGCUGUUUCAAAGCAGAGAAAUGGCAGUGUCAUUUCUUAGUCCCCGGGUGUGAGAGACACUGGGACCCCGAGUGUGCAGAAAGGCAGCUCUGGCUGACACGGAGCCCUGCGAAGGAUUCAUCUGGGGAGUUCAGCGACGGCAGUGGGCAGACUGGCGUCCACGUGGGCUGCACAAUCUCACAGAGCCCUGCUCACCGCACCAGCCCCUGCUUGCAGGAGGCCUUGUAUUGCACCUACCACCAGAAGCUUCGUCGGGCCCCUCCCCUGGCUCAGACAAGCCAAGGAAACUGAAACGUGGACUGUCCCACAGUAGUCUAAGCUUUGCUUAAUAUGGUGGGGACUUACUGUGUCUAAUGUGGUUGAACAGGGAAAGGAAAUUAUUGGCAGUGGGUUUGGCUGGGAAUGAAACUAGCCCAAUAGGCAUUUUAUCCUAAUAAUGAUCAAAUGCUGUUGCUCCUAGUCCUUUGACUUUCAAAUCAGUUUUUGUCUGGCCUGCAGACUCUGAGGCUGCCUUAGGGAGGGACAAUGCAAACCGUUCAAAUAUAAAGAUUAGGGCAAUAGUGACAUGGCAAAGAUGCUUCCCAAGGGACACUGGUUGCAAAGACGUGGAUGCAGUCAGCUUGGGCCCAGAUAGGCGCUGCUCCGUGACUAUGCAAAGGCGGACUUGGACCUCCCAAGAAGAAGUAAUUGAACCAGCAGUGGGAAGUGCAGAUGGGGUCUUUGGGAUGAGAACAAGUGGAAGACUCUCCUCUGGGACUUUGUUUCCAUUAUUUCCCAAAAAUGUGGUACAAAAAUCAAUGAUGAUAAAGAGAAUAUCUUAGUAUGAAGUGCUAUACAUUAAUUUUAAUGUGUAUUAGAAAAAGCAACACAACUUGCACGUGAAGUGUAUGAUUCCGUUGAUGUUUUUAAGAUCAGUUUAAAGUAGGCAAAGCCUUGGCAAUCCACUAUAUGGAGAAUGUAUAGAUUAGAGGCUUGGUGUCAGGGCAUGGUCAUCAAUACUUUAGAGCUUCUGGAAUUUAACUCUGUCAAAGUUUUUGUAGAAGUUUCGAUAGAAUGAAUGGCUAUUGCUGUGCCCCCCACAACAAAGCUUUCUUCCACCCCCUACUUUGGGAAGAGCGGGCUCUGAUGGGGGAAGACAGCUGAGCCCACUCUCCCAGAAUGGGCACUCGAUCAAAGCUGGACUGUUCUCGGUGUGCCCAGACUCCCCGAAAUGAUGCCACAGUGAACUAAGAAAGCCUAUGUGGGCCAGCGUGGUCACCCAGCUGAGGCUUCUGGAAACACAGACUGGGAGUCCAGCACAUGCUUGAGUUAGGGAACGCUUCUUUUCAGGCAUUUAAAAAUUCAUUUUAUUGGAAUUUGGAGGGGUGGAGCAAGAUGGCAGACGAGAAACACUGCCAGACAG